ensembl:lncRNA
AAGCGAGUCAGUGGUUAAAAGCGAGGUUGCUGGGGGGUGUUUACUCGUGUAACUGAAAUAAGUCACAAUGGAGGUUUCAACAACCUGAAUGGAGUCAGUAGCACACUAGCACACAAAUACUCAUUAUACAGCCUACAUGUUGUCUUUUUUAUUUGUAUUAACUGGAUAUAAAUGUUAAUGUUUAAGGAUGUAGAUGUUGGGGCUGAGGUGAAAAGCCCACAGGCUGUGAGUGAAGGAGGAGAAGCGGUGUGUUAAAGCAGCCUGGGACUGUGUGGGCUAGGGCAGCUUCAGGAGCUGCAUCUCACGCUUUUUAGCUUUUAGCUGAGGACUUAAGCGGAUGUCCCUUUCCAAUUCAAACGUCUUUUUGCUAAAAGAGGUAGGACAAACAUACUAAAGGUACAAAGGUAGAACCACAAGGUUCUACACCGGGUCACAGGGAGCCUGGAGCCUGUCGCAGGGAACUCGGGACACAGCGAGGGACACCCUUGACAAGGUGCCAACCCACCCAUCGCAGGGUACAAGUGUACACACAUCCACACACACGGACAUGUCUUUGGACUGGCAGAGGAAACCGGAGUACCUUGAGGAAACCUCAGAAGCACGGGGAGAACAUGCAAAUGCUGUGCACACAGGACAGAGGUGGGAUUCGAGCACCCAACCCCCUGGAGAUGCGAGGCAAACGUGCUAACCAUUAAACCAACGUGCCCCCCUGAAAGUACACUCUGGCACCUUUAUUUCUGAGAGUGCAGAUGCAGAAUGGUUCAUUUGUUGAGAGACAGCUUAGUAAAAGAGUACGAACCUGGUUUAUUUAAAAAAAAAAAAAAAAACACGAGGUGAAGAGAAUAUUUCUGCAGCAAAAUAAAUGAAGUUGUGUAUCAUCCACACGGAACGACACACAGUAUUAAGAAUCAAGGAUCAAGGGUAUGUAAACUUUUGAACGGG